AAACACCAAAUUGCAGGACCUACACUAGGCAUGCUCCAGCUGAAGGGCUUGUAGGCAGCCCAGGGGUGCAAAGGCAGGCUGAGAGAAGGUAGCACAAGAUUUCUGAAGGUAAAUUCAGCCAUAAGCAACUUUAUACAGCUGAGGAAACCUACUGAGUUCAGCAGGACCACUUUCAUGGGCACAUGACUCACAUGGGCCCCAGGAAUGCACACUCACAGGGCUCAUGAAUGAGCUUGUUGAUAUCUGAGAAAACUACAGUCUCCUCUUCAUCCUCUGGUGCAACAGAAAUAGAGCUGCUCUUGAUUUCCUCACUUUUCCCAUUUGACGCUAUGAAAACCUUUGAAAAGGUGCAGGGGAACAAUUUCCAGCUGUGAAUGGCUGGCAUAACCUUCCUGACAAAGAAGAAAGCAGAUGAUCUGCUUGUAUUCCAAGGCAACGUCACUCAGAGCCAAAUAAAAGGAUAUUUUUAUUAUGUGAGCUAAAUGCUGGGCUGAACGAGCUGGCUGGUGACACACAGAGCCCUGCCAGCCUUUCAGUGAUGACUUCUUUUUGGUUUCUACUGCUUGGGCCAGGUUUGAACCAGAGAGAGCGGGACACAACUUCCCACUUUGCUGAGAAGCAGAGGAACACUUCAGCAAAGGAAAGGCAUUCUUUUCCUUCUCAUAAUUCCCACCCCACCAUCCC